AGAGUUUGAUCCUGGCUACAGGACGAACGCUGGCGGCGUGCCUAAUACAUGCAAGUCGAGCGAACCAAUAAGAAGCUUGCUUUUUGUUGGUUAGCGGCGGACGGGUGAGUAACACGUGGGUAACCUGCCUGUAAGACCGGGAUAACUCCGGGAAACCGGUGCUAAUACCGGAUAGAUUAUCUUUCCGCCUGGAGAGAUAAGGAAAGAUGGCUUUUGCCAUCACUUACAGAUGGGCCCGCGGCGCAUUAGCUAGUUGGUGAGGUAACGGCUCACCAAGGCGACGAUGCGUAGCCGACCUGAGAGGGUGAUCGGCCACACUGGGACUGAGACACGGCCCAGACUCCUACGGGAGGCAGCAGUAGGGAAUCUUCCGCAAUGGACGAAAGUCUGACGGAGCAACGCCGCGUGAGCGAAGAAGGUCUUCGGAUCGUAAAGCUCUGUUGUUAGGGAAGAACGAGUAUCGGAGGAAAUGCCGGUACCUUGACGGUACCUGACGAGAAAGCCACGGCUAACUACGUG
rnacentral:rRNA from 1 species